ACAUAAAACCAAUGUGGGCCGUGAUGACCGAGAUUUCUCGUCACCAUAGCAACCAGCGGGACGCGGGACGCUACCUGUGAGCGGCAUGUCUUUCAGGACUUUCAUUGAGCUGUGGGCCAAGACACAAGAGGACCUUAUCACCAUCCUAGAAAAGGACCAUGGUCUUCAGGGAACCUAUCAUCCGGAAUUUUCUGGUUGACUUUUGCGGGUGCCACAAUAUAGUCCUGAGGGCCCCCCAUGGCGCCUGCAAGCUACAGGUUGGGAACCACUGGUCUAAGAGAAUCACUGGCAACAUGAGGUCCCAAGCCAUUGCCUAUGGGAACUACUGGCAGCAUGGGGCCCUGAGCCACUUAGUGUCCUAUGAUCAGCAUCCAUCCCCAACCCAAAGCAUGGUAGGUGUAGAGGAAAUGAGAAAGGCACAAGGAAAUGCUCCUAUGAACUUCCCUACAUUUUACCAUUGUUAGAGUAUGGCCUACUUUGGGAGUGCUAACCCACAGAAACUGUCAUGACAGCAACUAACCAGAGCCUGACACUUAAGAUGAGUUGACAGCAAAAAAAAAAAAAAAAAAGAUUUUUCAACCCAGUCAUCAAAAUUAAAUUUUUAACAAUACAGUCGCCCUUGAGGUGUUUGCUGUUUCCUGUGAAAAUGGAAAAAAUGAAAGCAUCAUUUCUUAUGUUUAAAUCAUCUUUGUUUACAGUUAUUUAAAGGGAUUUAACCUGUUCAGUGUUGAUUUUUUUUGUAUACGUUUCAUUUACCCCAUAAAAUGAGAAAAAAAUAACAAAUCAUUUGAUAUACGUAUUACUCCCAUGCUAUGAAUGGAAGUGUGGCUAUCAUAUGAUUUUGAUUCUUGGAUUUUUUCACUUCUCAAGACCUCAUGAUAUCAGACUAGGGAUGCAGAAUUUUAUUUUUAUACAUUUUUUAAAGCCUUUAUUCUCACCUUUACAUACACUUUCCACAACUCUAUAGUGUGUGUAAUAAAUAAGUACUUCUUUACAUUACAAAUACAUAUAAAUAAACAAGAAUUUUAUGUUCAAGGAGAUGGUUUAAUGUGCAUAUGGCAACAUCCAACAUUUCAAGGCCAUGGCUACUACACCAGCAGUUCUCAAAGAAUAGGGCAUAGAAUGAAUUUUAUGAUUUUCAGUUUUCGUUUCCGAUUACUCUGAAGUCUCGUUUCCUGUUUCUUACGCCUUACUGAUUAUAGAUUUGAGAAAUAAUUUAUUAGGAGAAAGUAACUUACUUUUUAUGUGAUGCUUUUUGGGAAAACACAGCAGCCCACCCUGUGUAGCCAACUCCGCAACAUUUAUAACCAAAGUCUUUGUCCCUCUUUAAUACCGUAGCUUUCAAUUUAAUUUUAUUGCUUUGAUAUUAUAUGCGUGUUGACAUAGGCAACAAUAAAAUAAAAUAAUCCCCAAAUAUGUCUUAGUUCCUACAGAAGUAUUCAGCCUAUAAUAACUCCAAACCCAAAAGAUAGGUAUGUAUAUGAAAACAUUCACUCUUGACUUGUCAAAAUAUUCUUUGUCACUGUUAGUGACAAUUCUUAUAUAUAUAAACAAAAUUCAAAGCCGUAAUAUGGAUAAAAAACUAAAUAGUAUACAUGCAUACUAAACGCUGUAUGGAUUAAAUGUCCCGCUGCAUGCUAGGCCAUGUGUCUUUUAGAAACUCACAAUUUUUAAGCAUUCUUUAAACUUUAAUUUGGUGUUUUUACCAUAUUUGUGAAUGUCCAUAUGGCAAUAAUGCUAUAGAGCCACUACACCAUGACAGGUCCAACCAUCUCAGUGUCUGUUGAGAUGUCAAAGAGGGGUACAUGUGCUCAGCUGUCUAGCACUUCACCCAGUGUUUCUUUCCUUUAUUUUGCCCAUUCACAAAUUUGGAAACAAUGGGUCAUCAUUCAGAGGAUAUCUACUUGCAUGACUACAUACAGAUGAGUGAGAAAAGAAAGGAAGGCCAGUCACCAGCCCACACUCUUGUCACCAGCCCAUGCACUCUUUUCACCACCUUGCCCAACCUCACACCUCACCUCUCCACCCCCUCAGCCUCUUCCCUUUGCCUCUCAGGAACCACCACCACUACCACAACUUGUUGCUGAGUCCUACCAAGCAACAAAACUAGAUAUACAAAUCCAGCUAUUCCAAGAAAAAAUUUUCACUCCCCUGCAAAGAUGAUGGGAAAUACAUCAUCUCUCUUUCCUAGCUAGAAAGUCUCGUAUUCAAGAUAUGCUAUAAAUGUUUCAGGGAGAAAAAAUUGAGCCAAAAAAGCAACACUUUUGACAGCACUAUCACCAUCACUUGUGUCAUGCCCUCUGAUACUCUCACCUGCUAGUGAGUAAUAUCCUGUCAAACAG